CGCUUACCACUUUGUGAUUCAUGACUGGGGUGAAGUCGUAACAAGGUAACCGAAGGGGCAUAUGGGGUUGGAUCACCUCCUUACCUUAAAGAAGC
rnacentral:rRNA from 1 species